rnacentral:tmRNA from 1 species
GGGGCCGAAAGGUUUUGACAACAUGGGUUCUUUGAAAGUGUAAGCAUGCCGUGCGUUGGAUCAUUAGCACGUUAAUCUGAAGAUCCGAAAAGUAAAUGGCGAUUAUUCUUACGCCAUGGCUGCCUGAUCAGCGAUCAGGACGCCAUUAUGGCCGGGUAUGUUGACAGACCUGUGGUCGACUGCCCCGCCGAAUCAUCCGAUCCACACAGGUUGCGGCAACAGUGUGCUGCGGCUGUUGCUUAAGACAAGCAGCUCAGGGAAACCAUCGGUUUGUCCGGCUCCAGUGGUUUCCUGAACUCCAAUGCCGGAAUAAGCAUGUAGAAAGCUUUCAGGGAACAUGGAUGGACGCGGGUUCGAUUCCCGCCGGCUCCACAA